rnacentral:lncRNA from 1 species
UUCCCUUUGGGGAGGGAGCGGCUGUUCUGCCUGCUUCACCGAGUCUUCACAAGCUGAGGGGAUGAGGCCAGGUUAGUACCAGGGACCAGCAACCUUUCAGGGCUCCUUGGGGGUCUCAGGUCCACACACAGUGAGCAUCCCUUGCCAGGUGCCCCAUGUAUCUGUCAGUGCUGAGACGCCAAACACACAACCUGUUCCCAGCUGCUGCUGGGGGCCACUGUGACCGAGGAGAGUGUGGGGUUGCCAGGGAGAGCGCUGUCCCUCUGACAGCCUGACCAGAUGAUGUAGCUUUGAAAGCCGGCAGCAUGUGAGUAGCAAGAUGUGACCUUGAGCUAGCUGAGCAGAACACAGGUGGAUGGGCAGAGGCCCCCAUCCUGGCGAGCUGAGCCUGGCUGUGUCCUGUCAGGACGCCCUACUCUGUGACCCUACCCUGUGAUCUGUGAAGUGGUGCAGUCGGAAGACGAGGCUGGAGUCCUUUACAAGUUUCUACACUAGAUUGUAGCCAGGUUUUCUCCCAGGCCUUAGGCUUUGGUUUACUUUUAAUUUUAAUUUCACUGUUACCCUUGACUAUUGUCCUUUUUGUUGCAGUGUUGGAGAGGCAGGAGGUAUUUGUGCCUCAUCUAUUACUGCAAAAAAAUUAAAUAAAUGUAACAAUAAACGUC